AUUGAACGCUGGCGGCAGGCUUAACACAUGCAAGUCGAGCGGAGAUGAGGUGCUUGCACCUUAUCUUAGCGGCGGACGGGUGAGUAAUGCUUAGGAAUCUGCCUAUUAGUGGGGGACGACAUUCCGAAAGGAAUGCUAAUACCGCAUACGUCCUACGGGAGAAAGCAGGGGAUCUUCGGACCUUGCGCUACUAGAUGAGCCUAAGUCGGAUUAGCUAGUUGGUGGGGUAAAGGCCUACCAAGGCGACGAUCUGUAGCGGGUCUGAGAGGAUGAUCCGCCACACUGGGACUGAGACACGGCCCAGACUCCUACGGGAGGCAGCAGUGGGGAAUAUUGGACAAUGGGGGGAACCCUGAUCCAGCCAUGCCGCGUGUGUGAAGAAGGCCUUAUGGUUGUAAAGCACUUUAAGCGAGGAGGAGGCUACUGAGACUAAUACUCUUGGAUAGUGGACGUUACUCGCAGAAUAAGCACCGGCUAACUCUGUGCCAGCAGCCGCCGUAA
rnacentral:rRNA from 1 species